UCGGGAAUUUUGGGCAAUGGGCGAAAGCCUGAUCCAGCCAUGCCGCGUGAGUGACGAAGGCCUUAGGGUUGUAAAACUCUUUCGUCGGGGACGAUAAUGACGGUACCCGAAGAAGAAGCUCCGGCUAACUUCGUGCCAGCAGCCGCGGUAAUACGAAGGGAGCUAGCGUUGUUCGGAAUCACUGGGCGUAAAGCGCACGUAGGCGGAUAGUUAAGUCAGGGGUGAAAUCCUGGGGCUCAACCCCAGAACUGCCUUUGAUACUGGCCGUCUCGAGGUCGAGAGAGGUUGGUGGAAUUCCUAGUGUAGAGGUGAAAUUCGUAGAUAUUAGGAAGAACACCAGUGGCGAAGGCGGCCAACUGGCUCGAUACUGACGCUGAGGUGCGAAAGCGUGGGGAGCAAACAGGAUUAGAUACCCACGUAGUCCCUGAGCGGGCUGGCAAGGCGCAU
rnacentral:rRNA from 1 species